UCCUGAAAGCCCCUGAUUUCAUGGAGCCGCUACUUCCCUGAGCAUUUUGGUGCACGUGAAGCCUAACGCAGUGCCUGACACCUCUGGCUCUGUAUCCACAAUCUCAUGACAUCAACCAACAAUCAGAUCCAACUCAGGCGGACUCAGCCUCUCUUCCUUCUCUGCUGCCAAACAGAGGCUGACAGUAACAAGUGCUGUGAAGACAACGGCAUUUAACCCACCUAAUUAACACCUUUAGCUGGAAGAAGCCUGGAGGGAGAGUGGUGGCUCUGGGGAGCUUUGCUCGUGGCCGCCCCGUGCCGGGACACAAUGUGGGAUUUGCAAGCAGCUCACCCUGGAGCCCUCUCUGUAUGUGUGCAUUUGCUCAUUGAGGUCUUUUGUGUAUCUGCACUCAGCAGAUGUCUCCUCGUGCACAGUGAGGUUCCUUCCACAAAGGAACCGGUCUGCUGGUGCAACAAACGUAACGUUUUUGCUCGAGAGCAAAUAUUUGCAAAAUACAGCAAAAAUGGCUCGACAAUGGAGUUGUGACUCACUCGUGCCCUUUCCAACAACCCUGCACCGCCAUGAAAACACAGCACAUCCUCCAGCCACGAAGUCUCCGGGCACAAGGUCUGUUGUUCUCCAUGGCUGGGUCUGGCUCCAUGACCGGGGCACGAAGCUACUACCAUAAAAUGAAUAAUAACACGCUGCAUUCAAUCAUUGUCGGGGGCUCAAUACUCCUGCACACGGACGCAAGACCACGAGUGCCCCUGCGAUGAAGGCCGAGAAAUGACUGAUCGUGCCACCCCUGAUGGCCAAAAUGUGCCGGGGAAGAAGACGGCCUCUGAAUGGUGCAGCUCCCAUGGCGUGCCACAUGAGUGUCCCUGCAGUUUUGGGAAGCAACUCCUUGAUUUUGGGGUCUGGCAGAGCUGAAGGUGCUGGGGACCAAAGAAAAGCACCCAAAUCAGUGAGAGCCUGUGUCACUGAUACCUUCUGCUUCUCAUGUGGGGCAGGAGCUGCCAGUUAACCCAAAGUGCAAAACAUCUAGCUAAAGGUGAGAUGACUACACACAGCGCAAAGAAAUGAUGCAACCAUCUCUUUCCUC